UACAGAGGUCUCAAGCGUUUGUUCGGAUUCAUUGGGCGUAAAGGGUGCGUAGGCGGCGCGGUAAGUCGGGUGUGAAAUCUUGGAGCUUAACUCCGAAACUGCAUUCGAUACUGCCGUGCUUGAGGACUGGAAAGGAGACUGGAAUUUACGGUGUAGCGGUGAAAUGCGUAGAUAUCGUAAGGAAGACCAGUGGCGAAGGCGGGU
rnacentral:rRNA from 1 species